AUUGAACGCUGGCGGCGUGCCUAACACAUGCAAGUCGAACGAGUGGCGGACGGGUGAGUAAUGUCUGGGAAACCGCCCGCUGGAGGGGGGUCACUACUGGAAACGGUAGCUAAAACCGCAAACCAUCGGAUGUGCCCAGAUGGGAUUAGCUUGUAGGUGGGGUAACGGCUCACCUAGGCGACGACCCCUAGCUGGUCUGAGAGGAUGACCAGCAACACUGGAACGGGGACACGGUCCAGACUCCUAAGGGAGGCACCGUUGGGGAAUAUUGCACAAUGAGCGCAAGCGUGAUGCAGGCAUGCCGCGUGUAUGAGGAGGGCCUUCGGGGUGUAAAGUACUUUAAUCGGGGAGGCGUUACCCAACGAAGAAGCACCGGCUAACUCCGUGCCAGCAGCCGCGGUAAUUC
rnacentral:rRNA from 1 species